rnacentral:rRNA from 1 species
GACGAACGCUGGCGGCGUGCCUAACACAUGCAAGUCGAACGAAAAGACCAGGAGUUUGCGCCUCUGACGUUAGCGGCGGACGGGAGAGUCACACGUGUAUACCCUACCUAUACGACUGGGAUAAUUACGGGAAACCGGAUCUUAUACCGUAUGAUAUAUUGCACCGCAUUGUUCAAUAGUGAAAUUCGGUUUUUCUGUCACUAAUAGCUUGAUCCGGGCAGCAUUAGUUGGUUGUUAAGGUAACGGCUUACCAAGGCUACGACGCGUAGACGACCUCAGAGGGUGGUCGGCCACACGGGAGGUGAGACAGGGUCCAGACACCUGCGGGAGGCAGCAGUAGGGAAUCUUACGCAAAGGGGGAGAGCAUGACAGAGCAACGGGGCGUGAGUGAUGAAGGUGUUGGGAUCGGGAAGCUCUGUUAUUAGGGGAGAACAAAUGUGUAAGUACCUGUGCAGGUAGUGACGGUACCGGGUCAAAAAGCCACGGCUAACUACGUG